UCCUACGGGGGGCAGCAGUAGGGAAUUUUCGUCAAUGGGCGCAAGCCUGAACGAGCAAUGCCGCGUGAACGAGGAAGGUCUUCGGAUCGUAAAGUUCUGUUGAAGGGGAAAAAGAGCGGAGAGAGGAAAUGGUCUCCGAUUGAUAUUACCCUUCGAGGAAGUCACGGCUAACUACGUGCCAGCAGCCACGGUAAUACGUAGGUGGCGAGCGUUAUCCGGAAUGAUUGGGCGUAAAGGGUGCGUAGGCGGCCUGCUAAGUCUGGAGUGAAAGGUACCGGCUCAACCGGUACAGGCUCUGGAAACUG
rnacentral:rRNA from 1 species